rnacentral:rRNA from 1 species
AGGUUAAGUGAAUAAGGGCGCACGGUGGAUGCCUUGGCACUAGGAGCCGAUGAAGGACGGGACUAACACCGAUAUGCUUUGGGGAGCUGUAAGUAAGCUAUGAUCCAGAGAUUUCCGAAUGGGGGAACCCAGCAUCUUUUAU